rnacentral:rRNA from 1 species
CAGCCGCCGCGGUAAUACGGAGGGAGCUAGCGUUGUUCGGAAUUACUGGGCGUAAAGCGCGCGUAGGCGGUUACUCAAGUCAGAGGUGAAAGCCCGGGGCUCAACCCCGGAACUGCCUUUGAAACUAGGUGACUAGAAUCUUGGAGAGGUCAGUGGAAUUCCGAGUGUAGAGGUGAAAUUCGUAGAUAUUCGGAAGAACACCAGUGGCGAAGGCGACUGACUGGACAAGUAUUGACGCUGAGGUGCGAAAGCGUGGGGAGCAAACAGGAUUAGAUACCCCAGUAGUCCCUGUCUCUUAUAC